rnacentral:rRNA from 1 species
GACGAACGCUGGCGGCGUGCUUAACACUUGCAAGUCGAACGGAAAGGCCUGCUUUCCCUUGUGGAUUGCGGGUACUCGAGUGGCGAACGGGUGAGUAACACGUGAGUGAUCUGCCCCCAACUUGGGUAUAAGCCUGGGAAACUGGGUCUAAUUCCCGAUAGGACUGCAGGGUGGUGCCUGUGGUGGAAAACGAUUUUCUAGUGGUUGGGGAUGAGCUCGCGGCCUAUCAGCUUGUUGGUGGGGUAAUGGCCUACCAAGGCGGCGACGGGUAGCCGGCCUGAGAGGGUGGACGGCCACAUUGGGACUGAGAUACGGCCCAGACUCCUACGGGAGGCAGCAGUGGGGAAUAUUGCACAAUGGGCGGAAGCCUGAUGCAGCGACGCCGCGUGGGGGAUGACGGCCUUCGGGUUGUAAACUCCUUUCGACCGCGAGGAAGCCACCUGGUUGGAAGGGUGGUGACGGUAGUGGUAGAAGAAGCACCGGCUAACUACGUG